CCUACGGGAGGCAGCAGUGAGGAAUAUUGGUCAAUGGGCGCUAGCCUGAACCAGCCAAGUAGCGUGAAGGAUGACUGCCCUAUGGGUUGUAAACUUCUUUUAUAUGGGAAUAAAGUGCAGUAUGUAUACUGCUUUGCAUGUACCUUAUGAAUAAGGAUCGGCUAACUCCGUGCCAGCAGCCGCGGUAAUUCGGAGGAUCCGAGCGUUAUCCGGAUUUAUUGGGUUUAAAGGGAGCGUAGGCGGGUUGUUAAGUCAGUUGUGAAAGUUUGCGGCUCAACCGUAAAAUUGCAGUUGAUACUGGCAUCCUUGAGUACAGUAGAGGUAGGCGGAAUUCGUGGUGUAGCGGUGAAAUGCUUAGAUAUCACGAAGAACUCCGAUUGCGAAGGCAGCCUGCUGGACUGUAACUGACGCUGAUGCUCGAAAGUGUGGGUAGCAAACAGGAUUAGAUACCCCUGUAGUC
rnacentral:rRNA from 1 species